GUCUAUGGCCAUGCUACCCUGUAAAAGCCUGAUCCUGUCUGAUCUCGGAAGCUAAGCAGGGUCAGGCCUGGUUAUUAUUUGGAUGGGAGACCACCUAGGAAAACCAGGUGCUGUAGGUG
rnacentral:rRNA from 1 species